GGGAAGCAUGAUCUGAUCAUCAGGUUCCUGAAAGGGGCCAGGAGGCUCAAUCCGCCUCGCCCUCAUCAAGUUCCCUCUUGGGACCUCGGAGUUGUUCUAUCGGCACUGCAGAGGGCUCCCUUCGAACCCUUGCUCUCAGUAGAGCUAAAGUUAUUAUCAUUGAAGACUGCGCUCCUGACGGCUUUGGCUUCGGUUAAGAGGGUCGGGGACCUGCAGGCAUUUUCAGUUGAUGAAGCGUGCCUGGAAUUCGGGGCGGCCAACCCUCACGUUAUCUUGAAACCCCGGCCUGGAUCCGUGCCCAAAGUUCCCACCACUCCUUUUAGAGAUCAGGUGGUGAACUUGCAAGCACUGCCCCUGGAGGAGGCAGACCCAGCCCUGAUGCUGCUCUGUCCAGUACGUGCACUCCGCACUUACGUGGACAGAACUCAGUGCUUCAGGACCUCAGACCAGCUCUUUGUUUGUUACGGAGGCCAGCAGAAGGGAAAGUCUGUCUCCAAGCAGAGGUUAUCCCACUGGAUAGUGGAUGCUUUUGUCCUGGCUUAUCAGGCUCAAGACCUGCCAUGCCCCCUAGGGGUUAGAGCUCACUCAACUAGGAGUGUAGCCUCCUCCUGGGCGCUGGCACAUGGUGCCUCGCUAACAGACAUCUGUAGAGCUGCGGGCUGGGCGACACCUAACACAUUUGCGCGGUUUUAUAAUCUCCUGGUAGAGCCCGUGCCCUCCCGGGUACUCGCCCCUUCGGGCCAGUAAUGACCUGCUAGGUGUCAAUCCGCUUGCUGCGCCCUUCCACUCAACGGAUUGGAUACGUGCGCUAUUUCCCUCAGGUGAGAUCCUCAGUCCAGAACCCUGGGUUCUUCCAGCACUGUUGAUGUCCAGCACUUGCAUGCAUGCCCUAUCGGUCAGCCCUGUGUGGGACUAGGUGCCUCCAUGUGUUGUGAUUCGCCUUUCUGGGGAAUCCCAUGUGUGUAUCUCCACAGUAAAUCUCUUCGUAGCAUGUGUCUUUCCCUUGGCAAGCACCUUACCAGCUCUGUUGUUGAAACUUCCACCCUGCGGGCUGGGUACCUCAGAAUUCAUGUGUAUCACCACCUCUCGGUUGAUACCUGCCUUGUAAGUCCUCCUAUGAGCAGGCAGC
ensembl:lncRNA